UUGGGGGAAUGUAUAGUGCUCUCAUGAGCCUAGUUGUGUUUUGAAUGAGGGUCAACCGUUAUAAAAUAAACAUAACACCAACUACGUUGGAUAAAAUUCUAGAUAGAAUACUGAUUAUGACUAUUUUCUAUCUAAAUGUCUUGACCAAAUUACGUGCCAGCAGUCGCGGUAAUACGUAGAAGACUAGGGUUAUUCAUCUCUAAUAGGUUUAAAGGGUACCUAGACGGUAUAAUUAACCCAAAACAGGGAUUUUUUGUUACUAGAGUUAAAUGUAAGAAGGGAGAACUCAGGGAGGAGAGAUAAAAUUCGGUGAUCCCCUGAGGACUGGUAAGGGCGAAGGCACCCUUCUAUGUAAUAACUGACGUUAGGGGACGAAGGCGUGGGUAGCGAAUAGGAUUAGAGACCCUAGUAGUCCACGCAGUAAAUGAUGAAUGCCAUAGACUAGAAAUAAUUUAGUUUAUAAAUGAAAGUGUAAGCAUUCCACCUCAAGAGUACUGUGGCAACGCUGGAACUGAAAUCAUUAGACCGCUUCUGAGAACAGUAGUGAAGUAUGUUAUAUAAUUCGAUGGCCCUCGUAAAACCUUACCACAACUUGAAUGGUGUCUUGCUGCAGCAGGAGCAGCAGCAGCUGCUGCUCCUCUGCAAAGGAUGUUACAGGUGUUGCACGGUUGUCAUGAGCUAAUGUCGUGAGAUUGUGGUUAGUUCCAUAAAAUUAGCGUAAACCCCGGUUUUAUUUUUUAAUUAUUAUGAUAAAACAGUUCGUCAGUAUAUCGAUAUAUGAUAA
rnacentral:rRNA from 1 species